GACGAACGCUGGCGGCGUGCUUAACACAUGCAAGUCGAACGGAAAGGCCCUGCUUGCAUGGUACUCGAGUGGCGAACGGGUGAGUAACACGUGGGUGAUCUGCCCUGCACUUCGGGGUAAGCCUGGGAAACUGGGUCUAAUACCGGAUAGGAGCCAAUUUUCGGGUGAUGGUUGGAAAGUUUUUUCGGUGUGGGAUGAGCUCGCGGGCUAUCAGCCUGUUGGUGGGGUAAUGGCCUACCAACGCGGCGACGGGUAGCCGGCCUGAGGGGGUGGACGGCCACCAUGGGGACUAGGAACGGCCCCGACUCCUACGGGGGGGAGCAGGUGGGAAUAAUGCCCAAUGGGGGCAAGCCUGAUUGAGGGGCGCCGCGGGGAGGAUGACCGGCUUCCGGUUGGAAACUCCUUUCGCGAGGGAAGAAGCUUAUUGUGACGGUACCUAGAGAAGAAGCACCGGCUAACUACGUG
rnacentral:rRNA from 1 species